CUUGACUGCGCAAGCGUGUCUUGUAUUAAACGAAGACAUCGUAACAAAAAAAAUACUAUGCAUUCGAAAGCUAUUAUUUUUUCCUUCAUUGUGGUGAGUAUACUAGUGAUGUCACAGCUCGCUGCUGGUAGGAAGUGUGUAGUGGGAAAUAAGUGCACAACCAAUUUGGAUUGCUGUACAGGAUGUUGCUACAACAAUAAAUGUGCCGGCAGUCUGAAAUGGUGUCCGUGCUUGGCCUCCAAAAACCAUUGUAAUAAGAAAACGGAAGUCUGCGUUGCUAAGGAUGUUCAGUGCAUAAAAGCUCCCUGUUAUCCAGUCCCGACAUGCAGAACACGCUCGUGAAUUGAAACUUAUCGCUAGUUUUUAAUAAUUCUCAAUGUUUGAAAAUUUUAAACAGUAAAAUGCAACAACAAAAAAUAGUUUUUUUCAUUAAUUAUAAGUUGAAAAAAAAGAAUUAACUGGCUUGAAAGACUCGAUUGACAUUCUUCGACCAAGCACUACUGCUCUUAAUCCAUUUAGCAUUUCAAUUCGAUCCUAAAUCCGAUAU